rnacentral:lncRNA from 1 species
CAUCAUCAUCAUCUUCCCCAACAAUUCCUCAUCUCUCUGUAUAUAUAUAUAUAUAUACCCCAUUUCAUUUCUAGCCCAGACAAACAAUGGUCUUGUCUUCAGUGUACUCAGCUUUUUAGGCUAUAACAGUGGGCAAGAGAGAGCACCUGACUAUAUUAAAACUAAAUAAAGAGUUAUGUAAAAACCAUAAUCCCAGGUGCGACAAUUUUUUCGAAUUAUACAACCGAGUCGCUUGUUCAAUACAAUUUAAGAAAAGAAACUGCAAAAGAGACACAAACCUAAUUGGCAAUUUAUUUUAUAUGGUAGCAUUUACAGUUUUGAUCUUUUUACCACCAAAAGAAUGCUUAGGUGGUAUCUCUCUACCAUAUAGUGAUUCCCUUAGCUGAGUUAAAACCUGGUUUUCCUUCCCCCAACCCAUGUAGCUGCUUCCCUCCUCGUUACGCGUCUUUCAAACCUGUUUGUUUCGAUUAAAAAGACAAUCAUGUAUAAGAUAUGACAACUGCACGUAUCCAACAAUAUUUCUUACGUAAAAGAGAUAAAUGUAAUUAAAUCUAAGUAUCAUCUACAGCUGAGCGUUAUAGUCAUAUAUAUACAUAUGUAAAUUUUCAUACAGGUAACAAUGAAAUGAAGUUUCAACACAGCAAAACAUGCAUCCUUCUAACUAAAAAUCAUAAGAAAAGAUAAUUCACUGGCCUUAUUUGAAGAUGAGGCAUACCGAACUAGCCAUGGAAUCAUCUUCCUACAGGAUACUAAUUAUUCUUUAACCCAUUCAGCAACAAAGGUUAAAAAUUAGAGGAAUAUUCAUAUGAUCAUCACUGAAUUGUAAUCAAACUUAAAAGUGCAAUGCAUACAGUUAAAGAGCAUAUGAAUAUUGUCUUUCUUUUUUCUUUGGUCCCAAAUUGAAGUUGUUAGUUAUUAACAACUCCAGCAUCAUAAUG